rnacentral:rRNA from 1 species
ACUAGUGUAAAUACCCAAGGCCCGGCCUAUUUAGUACUUGGAUGGGAGACCAUUGGGAAUACCAGGUGUCUUGAUC